GCCCUGAUGGCGGAAUUGGUAGACGCGCUGGACUCAAAAUCCAGUAUCCUCAAAAGAUGUGCGGGUUCGAGUCCCGCUUGGGGCA
rnacentral:tRNA from 1 species